rnacentral:piRNA from 1 species
UUUUGAGUCUGGCACUCUC